UAGGGAAUAUUGCACAAUGGGCGAAAGCCUGAUGCAGCAACGCCGCGUGCGCGAUGAAGACCUUCGGGUUGUAAAGCGCUUUUAUGAAGGACGAGGAAGGACGGUACUUCAAGAAUAAGGAUCGGCUAACUACGUGCCAGCAGCCGCGGUAAUACGUAGGAUCCGAGCGUUAUCCGAAUUUACUGGGCGUAAAGCGCGUGCAGGCGGUUUGAUAAGUUGGAUGUGAAAGCUCCCGGCUCAACUGGGAGAGGCCGUUCAAAACUAUCAGACUAGAGGACGGUAGAGGGAGGUAGAAUUCCCGGUGUAGUAGUGAAAUGCGUAGAUAUCGGGAGGAAUACCAGUGGCGAAGGCGGCCUCCUGGACCGUUCCUGACGCUCAGACGCGAAAGCUAGGGGAGCGAACGGGAUUAGAAACCCCGGUAGUCCUAGCUGUAAACGAUGCAAACUUGGUGUUGGUGGGGUAAAAUCCGCCGGUGCCGAAGCUAACGCGAUAAGUUUGCCGCCUGGGGACUACGGCCGCAAGGUUA
rnacentral:rRNA from 1 species